UCCAGUUAUAGAGGAGACAUACUGUGUCUUCUCUAUAACUGGAGAGGAGACACAGUAUGUCUCCUCUAUAAUUGGAGGAGACAUACUGUGUCUUU